GAUGAACGCUGGCGGCGUGCCUAAUACAUGCAAGUCGAGCGAAUGGAUUAAGAGCUUGCUCUUAUGAAGUUAGCGGCGGACGGGUGAGUAACACGUGGGGAACCUGCCCAUUAGCCUGGGAUAACUCCGGGAAACCGGGGCUAAUACCGGAUAAUAUUUUGAACUGAAUGGUUCAAAAUUGAAAGGCGGCUUCGGAUGUCACUUAUGGAUGGACCCGCGUCGCAUUAUCUAGUUGGUGAGGUAACGGCUCACCAAGGCAACGAGGCGUAGCCGACCUGAGAGGGUGAUCGGCCACACUGGGACUGAGACACGGCCCAGACUCCUACGGGAGGCAGCAGUAGGGAAUCUUCCGCAAUGGACGAAAGUCUGACGGAGCAACGCCGCGUGAGUGAUGAAGGCUUUCGGGUCGUAAAACUCUGUUGUUAGGGAAGAACAAGUGCUAGUUGAAUAAGCUGGCACCUUGACGGUACCUAACCAGAAAGCCACGGCUAACUACGUGCCAGCAGCCGCCGCCG
rnacentral:rRNA from 1 species